rnacentral:rRNA from 1 species
GAUGAACGCUGGCGGCGUGCCUAAUACAUGCAAGUCGAGCGAACAGAUAAGGAGCUUGCUCCUUUGACGUUAGCGGCGGACGGGUGAGUAACACGUGGGUAACCUACCUAUAAGACUGGGAUAACUUCGGGAAACCGGAGCUAAUACCGGAUAACAUUUGGAACCGCAUGGUUCUAAAGUGAAAGAUGGUUUUGCUAUCACUUAUAGAUGGACCCGCGCCGUAUUAGCUAGUUGGUAAGGUAACGGCUUACCAAGGCGACGAUACGUAGCCGACCUGAGAGGGUGAUCGGCCACACUGGAACUGAGACACGGUCCAGACUCCUAUGGGAGGCAGCAGUAGGGAAUCUUCCGCAAUGGGCGAAAGCCUGACGGAGCAACGCCGCGUGAGUGAUGAAGGGUUUCGGCUCGUAAAACUCUGUUAUUAGGGAAGAACAAAUGUGUAAGUAACUGUGCACGUCUUGACGGUACCUAAUCAGAAAGCCACGGCUAACUACGUG